GAGAGAGAGAGAGAGAGAGAGAGAGAGAGAGGUAAAUUCCAUCCUUCCGGCUACCGGAGCGCGGAGGUGGUAAUCGUCUCUAUCGUUGCUGAAUCCUCGACGAUCGAUCCGACGAGCAAUUGAAGAGCGGCGCCGGAAGCAGCAGAAGAUGGCGGAGAUUGUAGACCCGGACGGUCCAGACGGCGUCCGCAUGACAUGGAACUCUUGGCCGCGUACGAAAGUGGAGGCGAGCAAGUCCGUCAUUCCCAUCGCCUGCGUCUACUCGCUGAUCCGUGCUCCUCCCUCCGCCACCGAUGCGGCCUUUCCGCUUCUCCCUUACCGCCCGCUCCGUUGCAGGAACUGCUCCUGCGCCCUCAAUCCGUACGCCCUUGUCGACUUCUCUGCCAAGUUCUGGGCCUGCCCCUUCUGCCUCCAGCGCAACCCCUUCCCCCAACACUACUCGGCCAUUAACCCCUCCAACCUCCCUGCCGAGCUCUUCCCCCAGUACACUACCGUCGAGUAUGCCCUCUCCGCUGGCCCCGGUGGCCCCGCCGCCGUUCCAGCCCCGCCGCCCGUCUUUCUCUUCGUCCUUGAUAUCUGCGUCAUCGAGGAAGAGCUCGAAUUCGUCAAGUCGGCGCUCCGACAAGCGCUCGGCCUGCUUCCCGAGCAUGCCCUCGUGGGGCUGAUCACCUUCGGUACGCAGGUGCACGUCCACGAGCUAGGGUUCGCGGACCUGUUCAAGACUUAUGUGUUCAGGGGCACUAAGGAGAUCUCCAAGGAGCGGGUCCUCGAGCAAUUGGGGCUAACAGGCCGUGGCGCCACUGGCUUCCCGAGGGCGGGGGCCGGCGCUAAUCAGACCACUGCUUCUGCGGGGAUCGCUGGGAGGUUCUUGCUUUCUGCUGCUGAUUGCGAGUACACUUUGAAUUCGCUUUUGGAUGAUCUGCAGAGGGAUCAGUGGCCGGUGUCACCGAGCAACAGGGCGGCGCGAUGUACUGGCGUGGCGCUGAGUGUUGCGGCAGGCCUUCUUGGUGGGUGCGUGCAGGGUACGGGCGCUCGAAUCAUCGCAAUGGUCGGUGGUCCAUGCACGGAAGGGCCAGGAACUAUAGUGUCUCAGGAUCUGUCAGAACCAGUACGUUCCCAUAAAGACCUGGACAAGGAUGCAGCACCCCAUUUCCAUAAAGCCGUCAAGUUUUAUGAUAAUGUCGCCAAACAACUGGUUGACCAGGGGCAUGUCUUAGAUCUUUUUGCUUGUGCUCUUGAUCAGGUUGGAGUUGCGGAAAUGAAAGUGGCAGUUGAAAGGACUGGUGGUCUUGUUGUUCUUGCAGAGAGCUUUGGACAUCCUGUAUUUAAAGAUUCUUUCAAGCGCAUCUUUGAAGAUAGUGACCAAUCGCUGGGGCUUUCCUUUAAUGGAACGCUUGAUAUACAUUGUUCAAAGGAUAUCAAAGUACAGGGAAUCAUUGGGCCAUGUACAUCCUUGGAGAAGAAAGGGCCAUUGUGUGCAGAUGUUGUCAUUGGGCAAGGGAAUACAACAUCAUGGAAAAUGUGUGGUCUGGAUAAAAGGACUUGUUUGACUGUCUUCUUCGAUGUUUCGCCAAGUGAACGGUCAAGCCCUGCAGCAGCAGGUGCAAGCCAGCAACUAUAUAUUCAGUUUCAGACAACUUACCAGAACCCUGAAGGACAGAUGAGACUCCGUGUGACAACUAUCACAAGAAAGUGGGUGGAUGAUUCUGCUAGUACAGCGGAACUAGCUGAAGGAUUUGACCAGGAGACUGCUGCUGUUGUAUUGGCAAGAUUAGUAUCUUUGAAAAUGGAAAUAGAGGAAGAAUUUGAUGCAACCAGGUGGUUAGAUCGGUCCCUUAUAAGGUUAUGCUCCAGAUUUGGUGACUACCGGAAAGAUGAUCCUGCUUCUUUCAAUUUAAAUCCAAGCUUCUCAAUAUUCCCACAAUUCAUGUUUAAUCUCAGACGAUCUCAGUUUGUUCAGGUUUUUAAUAACAGUCCAGAUGAGACUGCAUACUUCCGGAUGCUCCUAAACAGGGAAAAUGUCACCAACUCUGUGGUUAUGAUUCAACCUUCCUUGAUUGCAUAUUCCUUUAAUUCACCUCCUGUGCCAGCAUUACUGGAUGUGGCUUCUAUUGCAGCAGACCGCAUACUUCUCCUAGAUGCAUAUUUUAGCAUUGUUGUCUUCCACGGAAUGACAAUUGCUCAAUGGCGAAAUAUGGGUUAUCACAAUCAGCCUGAACAUCAGGCCUUUGCACAGCUGUUGCAGGCUCCACAAGAUGAUGCUCAUUUGAUCAUCAGUGACCGAUUUCCAGUCCCCAGACUGGUUGUUUGUGAUCAGCAUGGCUCUCAGGCUCGCUUCCUACUGGCUAAGUUGAACCCUUCAGCUACCUACAACUCUCCACAAGAAGUUGCUGCUGGCUCUGAUGUGAUAUUCACUGACGAUGUCAGCUUGCAAGUCUUUUUUGAGCAUCUCCAGCGAUUAGCCGUGCAAAGCUAAGGGAAGAAAGAAUGAGUUUGCCCGUUACAACCGAUCUGCAUUCGUUGCUGCGUGCCAGAAAGCACAGAUCCACAAUUCAACCAAUAAUGGACUUGGGGACGGGGCAGAAGAUUGGGAUUGGUUCGGCUAUUGAUGGGCUCUACAGACUGCCCGUUCGAGUUGCUUCUGCUUUGAUUUCAGCCACCAGUGAACAGUUGCCUAGCGUGGAGGCCAGAUCCGUCAUUAUGCGUUGGCAUGAGAAACUUGGUCAUCUUCCAUUCCAGUUGCUUAGAAAGUUGUUUCCUAUGAUGUUUCAUUCUGUUUCUUUGGACACCUUCGCCUGUGAAGUGUGUCAGUUGUUUAAGCAUGUUAGGGCCUCGUACCCUAUUU